rnacentral:rRNA from 1 species
GCCCCGGUGAACAAGCCUGAACAAGCCUGAUAUCUGAUCCUGGAAGCUAAGCAGGGUUGGGCCUGGUUAGUACUUGGAUGGGAGACCACGUAGGAAGACCAGGUGCCGGAGGCA